GAUGAAGAACGCAGCGAAAUGCGAUAAGUAAUGUGAAUUGCAGAAUUCAGUGAAUCAUCGAAUCUUUGAACGCACCUUGCGCUCCUUGGUAUUCCGAGGAGCAUGCCUGUUUGAGUGUCAUUAAUAUAUCAACCUCUUCAGCUUAUGCUUGUUGAGUGUUGGAUGGUGGGGGUUUGCUGGUGUCUUAUGAAGUCAGCUCCUCUGAAAUGCAUUAGCGGAACAAUUUGUUGACCGUUCAUUGGUGUGAUAAAAAUAUUUACGCUAUUGACGUCAGUCAGUUCAGCUUCUAACAGUCCAUUGACUUGGACAAAUUUUUCAUUAAUGUGACCUCAAAUCAGGUAGGACUACCCGCUGAACUUAAGCAUAUCAAUAAGCGGAGGA
rnacentral:misc_RNA from 1 species